AUGAACGCUGGCGGCGUGCCUAAUACAUGCAAGUCGAGCGAACGGACGAGAAGCUUGCUUUUCUGAUGUUAGCGGCGGACGGGUGAGUAACACGUGGAUAACCUACCUAUAAGACUGGGAUAACUUCGGGAAACCGGAGCUAAUACCGGAUAAUAUUUUGAACCGCAUGGUUCAAAAGUGAAAGACGGUCUUGCUGUCACUUAUAGAUGGAUCCGCGCUGCAUUAGCUAGUUGGUAAGGUAACGGCUUACCAAGGCAACGAUGCAUAGCCGACCUGAGAGGGUGAUCGGCCACACUGGAACUGAGACACGGUCCAGACUCCUACGGGAGGCAGCAGUAGGGAAUCUUCCGCAAUGGGCGAAAGCCUGACGGAGCAACGCCGCGUGAGUGAUGAAGGUCUUCGGAUCGUAAAACUCUGUUAUUAGGGAAGAACAUAUGUGUAAGUAACUGUGCACAUCUUGACGGUACCUAAUCAGAAAGCCACGGCUAACUACGUA
rnacentral:rRNA from 1 species